rnacentral:other from 1 species
GCGAAGCUGCGGGGUGCGGCAGGAGACAUGUAUCCCCGGGGCUUAUCGAUCCAAAUGGGAGCUGUACCUGUGCCGUCCCGUGGGGCGGCGCACACGGCGCCCACCUACGUUGUAGGUCUCCGGGAUCGAUCCUCCACCGGCUCUCGCGGCUCGCU